rnacentral:rRNA from 1 species
CCUACGGGAGGCAGCAGUAGGGAAUCUUCCACAAUGGGCGAAAGCCUGAUGGAGCAACGCCGCGUGGGUGAAGAAGGUCUUCGGAUCGUAAAACCCUGUAGUUAGAGAAGACAGUACGUGAGAGUAACUGUUCACGUUUCGACGGUAUCUAACCAGAAAGCCACGGCUAACUACGUGCCAGCAGCCGCGGUAAUACGUAGGUGGCAAGCGUUAUCCGGAUUUAUUUGGCGUAAAGGGAACGCAGGCGGUCUUUUAAGUCUGAUGUGAAAGCCUUCGGCUUAACCGGAGUAGUGCAUUGGAAACUGGGAGACUUGAGUGCAGAAGAGGAGAGUGGAACUCCAUGUGUAGCGGUGAAAUGCGUAGAUAUAUGGAAGAACACCAGUGGCGAAAGCGGCUCUCUGGUCUGUAACUGACGCUGAGGUUCGAAAGCGUGGGUAGCAAACAGGAUUAGAUACCCUAGUAGUC